rnacentral:ncRNA from 1 species
UGUCAUCUAAGUCGUAACUCGCAUGAAUGGAUUAACGAAAUUCCCACUGUCGCUAUCUAUGAUCUAGCGAAAUCGCAGCGAAGAGAAUGAUCUUGG